CCCUUAGAUGUUCUGGGCUGCACGCGCGCUACACUGACGAUGUCAACGAGUCUCUCCUUGGCCGAAAGGUCUGGGUAAUCUUCUGAAACAUCGUCGUGCUGGGGAUAGAUCAUUGCAAUUUUUGAUCUUGAACGAGGAAUUCCUAGUAAGCGCGAGUCAUCAGCUCGCGUUGAUUACGUCCCUGCCCUUUGUACACACCGCCCGUCGCUACUACCGAUUGAAUGGUUUAGUGAGGACUCCUGAUUGGCGCCGCCGCCCCGGCAACGGAGCAGUGGACUGCCGAAAAGUUGUUCAAACUUGAUCAUUUAGAGGAAGUAAAAGUCGUAACA
rnacentral:rRNA from 1 species